AGGGUGUAAACGCUGCAGACUUGGUGUUGGGAACCCUUCGGGGGUGCUCAGUGCCGGAGAGAAGUUGUUAAGUCUGCUACUUGGGGAGUACGUCCGCAAGGAUGAAACUUAAAGGAAUUGGCGGGGGAGCACCGCAACGGGAGGAGCGUGCGGUUUAAUUGGAUUCAACGCCGAAAAACUCACCAGCAGCGACUGUUACAUGAAAGUCAGGUUGAUGACCUUGCUUGACAAGCUGAGAGGUGGUGCAUGGCGUGUGACUGU
rnacentral:rRNA from 1 species